AGUGAACGCUGGCGGUAGGCCUAACACAUGCAAGUCGAACGGCAGCACAGUAAGAGCUUGCUCUUACGGGUGGCGAGUGGCGGACGGGUGAGGAAUACAUCGGAAUCUACUUUUUCGUGGGGGAUAACGUAGGGAAACUUACGCUAAUACCGCAUACGACCUACGGGUGAAAGCAGGGGAUCUUCGGACCUUGCGCGAUUGAAUGAGCCGAUGUCGGGUUAGCUAGUUGGCGGGGUAAAGGCCCACCAAGGCGACGAUCCGUAGCUGGUCUGAGGGGAUGAUCAGCCACACUGGAACUGAGACACGGUCCAGACUCCUACGGGAGGCAGCAGUGGGGAAUAUUGGACAAUGGGCGCAAGCCUGAUCCAGCCAUACCGCGUGGGUGAAGAAGGCCUUCGGGUUGUAAAGCCCUUUUGUUGGGAAAGAAAAGCAGCAGGUUAAUACCCCGCUGUUCUGACGGUACCCAAAGAAUAAGCACCGGCUAACUUCGUG
rnacentral:rRNA from 1 species